rnacentral:rRNA from 1 species
CCUACGGGGGGCAGCAGUGAGGAAUAUUGGUCAAUGGACGAGAGUCUGAACCAGCCAAGUAGCGUGAAGGAUGACUGCCCUAUGGGUUGUAAACUUCUUUUAUAAGGGAAUAAAAUGUUCCACGUGUGGGCUUUUGUAUGUACCUUAUGAAUAAGGAUCGGCUAACUCCGUGCCAGCAGCCGCGGUAAUACGGAGGAUCCGAGCGUUAUCCGGAUUUAUUGGGUUUAAAGGGAGCGUAGGUGGGUUGUUAAGUCAGUUGUGAAAGUUUGCGGCUCAACCGUAAAAUUGCAGUUGAAACUGGCAGUCUUGAGUACAGGAGAGGUAGGCGGAAUGCGUGGUGUAGCGGUGAAAUGCUUAGAUAUCACGAAGAACUCCGAUUGCGAAGGCAGCUCACUGGCCUGCAACUGACACUGAGGCUCGAAAGUGUGGGUAUCAAACAGGAUUAGAUACCCCGGUAGUC